UAGUAGGUCAGUUUGGUAGAAUGGAAAAUGUGUGAAGGUGAAUAAAGUAAAAUAGGUUAGAGUUAGACUGUGAAGGGCUGUAAAUGCCAGGCUGAAGGAAUUUGUGGUUUGUCCCAGAGGCAAUAGAGAGCCAUUGAUGAUCCUUGAGCAGGCAAGCCGCCCUCAUAGCUUUGGAAGAUUAAUUUUGGUCAUGUGGUAGAUGGCUUGGAGAAGGGGGAGACAAGAAGUAGGAAACAAUAAUUCAGAGGAAAGAUGCUGAGGGACUUGAGGUAAAUAUGUAGCAAUUUGGUUUUUCCCUCCCUGACUUGUCCUCCCUGUUGGAAGAACAUUGUGCUUUCUUCAGCAACAAUCUCAGUUCAUCAUCAGUAAAAUUGUUACUCUAUUGUUGACUGUUAUCUCACAUAUGUUCUCACCCAGCCUUGAAAAGCCAUGGAAUGGAGAAGUCACCAGUUGGGCCUCCCAGCAUCAAGAUGUAUAAAAAUACUUUGUAUUCCUUAGAGGAAAUGUAUGAGAUAAAUGAAUUACUCAUUGUUACAUUUGUCCCAUCAGGGAGUUCUGGCUUUCUGGGAGUCUGGAGACAGUCAGUGUGAAAGGGUAGCUGCAGCCAAGUCCCUCAUGUAUUUAUAAGCCAACAGUGAGCUAUAAAUCAAUGUUACAGGCUCAGAGAAGGUGACUAGAAGACUCCAAGUUUACGUGGUUUGCUUAGAGUGUGUUAGCUGAUCAGAAGAAGCGAGAGAGCCCUUGCAACAUCAGUACUUCAUCCUAGGUCUACUUUUUGCACUGCAGACUCAUUGUCCUUCCCAGAGGAUAACAGAAGCCCUUUUCAUUUGAGGAUUUCACACAGCUACUUUAUAAAAAGACAUAACCUCUGAGGAUCGGGACCAAUUACCUCUCCCCUUUGUAUUCCUGUUCCUAAACCCAGUGCCUCUGUUCCACAUA